CCUACGGGAGGCAGCAGUGGGGAAUAUUGCACAAUGGGGGAAACCCUGAUGCAGCGACGCCGCGUGAGUGAAGAAGUAAUUCGUUAUGUAAAGCUCUAUCAGCAGGGAAGAAAAUGACGGUACCUGAGUAAGAAGCCCCGGCUAAAUACGUGCCAGCAGCCGCGGUAAUACGUAGGGGGCAAGCGUUAUCCGGAUUUACUGGGUGGAAAGGGAGCGUAGACGGCAGUGCAAGGCUGGAGGGAAAGGCGGGGGCUCAACCCCCGGACUGCUCUGGAAACUGUACGGCUGGAGUGCAGGAGAGGUGAGUGGAAUUCCUAGUGUAGCGGUGAAAUGCGUAGAUAUUAGGAGGAACACCAGUGGCGAAGGCGGCUUACUGGACUGUAACUGACGUUGAGGCUCGAAAGCGUGGGGAGCAAACAGGAUUAGAUACCCUAGUAGUC
rnacentral:rRNA from 1 species